GACAGAGGGUGCAACCGUUGUUCGGAAUUACUGGGCGUAAAGCGCGUGUAGGCGGCCCGGAAAGUCGGAUGUGAAAGCCCUGGGCUUAACCUAGGAAGUGCAUUCGAAACUCUCGGGCUUGAGUUCUGGAGAGGAAGGCGGAAUUCUCGGUGUAGAGGUGAAAUUCGUAGAUAUCGAGAGGAACACCGGUGGCGAAGGCGGCCUUCUGGACAGUGACUGACGCUGAGACGCGAAAGCGUGGGGAGCAAACAGG
rnacentral:rRNA from 1 species